ACCCAUCCCGAACACGACCGUUAAGCCCUCCAGCGCCGAUGGUACUUGGACCGCAGGGUCCUGGGAGAGUAGGACGUCGCCAAGC
rnacentral:rRNA from 1 species